rnacentral:lncRNA from 1 species
UUGUGAACUUUUCUGGUCCAAGCAACAGGCUCUUAUCUAUGAAGAUGUGAUCAAGACAAAGAAUAACAUCUAUGUACUGGUUCAGUGGAUUGACAUAGAUCAUCUCAAGAAGGACCCGACAUACUUUAAUGAGCCUCUAGACAUGGUGGAGCAGCUUGGGAUCGAGGAGAUCAUCUCGUUUCAGCUUGACUUUGAUCCUGAGAUUGUGGCUCAGUUCUUUGUUACCGUCCACUUC